rnacentral:rRNA from 1 species
AGCUCCAAUAGCGUAUAUUAAAGUUGUUGCAGUUAAAAAGCUCGUAGUUGCAUUUCCGAGGCAAGGGAUUAGUCCGACCUUUGGUGGGUAUUUAAUCCUCUUGCCUCGUCCUUGAGUGGUGCUUCUUGGUAUUAAGUUAUCGAGGAGAUAGCCGCUCAUCGUUUACUGUGAGAAAAUUAGAGUGUUCAAAGCAGGCUUAUGCCGUUGAAUAUAUUAGCAUGGAAUAAUAAGAUAGGACCUCGGUACUAUUUUGUUGGUUUGAGAACCAAGGUAAUGAUGAAUAGGGACAGUUGGGGUAUUCGUAUUCAGUUGUCAGAGGUGAAAUUCUUAGAUUUACGGAAGACGAACUACUGCGAAAGCAUUUACCAAGGAUGUUUUCA